GAGUUAAAAGGGGCUGCUAAUGGGGCUGCAUGGUUAAGAGUGCCCAUGGACGUCUUCCCUUGUGCCACUCACCUUGCACACUCAGCUUGCCCACUUAUGUGCACCAACAGCCCCCCAGACCCCAGUAUAUCCAUUGACAUUGGUUGGUUGGGUCCAAAGGAGCUGCUAAUUGGGAUUGCAUGGCUAAGUGUCCCCAACCCAAUGCAUGGAGAUCUCCCCUUGCACACUCACCUUGCACACUCACCUUGCACACUUAUGUGCACCAACAACCCCCCAGACCCCGCUCUAUCCUUUGCCAUUGGGUUUGGGCUGCUGAUCAUGGGCUAUGAAGGAGCUACAGCUCAAUGGCUCACAGUCCAUAGAUCCCAUGGAGAUGUCUCCUUGCACACUCACCUUGCACACUCAGCUUGCACACUUAUGUGCACCAACAGCCCCCCAGACCCCAGUAUAUCCAUUGACAUUGGGUUUGGGGUCAAAGGAGCUGCUAAUAGAAUUGGCAUGGCUAAGUGUCCCCAACCCAAUCAUGGAGAUGUCUCCUUGCACAG
rnacentral:lncRNA from 1 species